AAAAACCUUCAACAAUUCACAGACAGUAGCACCAAGAGUUCCACUUCCUCAGUAUUAAGUGGCAUACCACAAUCAGAAGUACUUCUAUGCAGCACGAAAUCCUCCCGAACCGCGACGUUCAUAUGGUCCAGACCGGUCACGAUUAUAACGAUCAGUUCCUGGAUUUCCACGGUUGCCAGCAUCCCUGUUACGGCCACCAAAUCGAUCUCCAUUUCGAUCAGGACC
rnacentral:misc_RNA from 1 species